UGUACCAUCUUGUCCUUCGAUAAUAGUGAGUGAGACGUCAUAACGGCCAGUUAACAAGAGUUUUGUCUCUUGAUUCUCGAUUAUUCUGAUUUAACAUUAUAUAACACAGGGGAAUGUAUGGACAGAGUGUGUAGACUAGACUGGACUGGAUUUAAUUAUUUGAGAAAGCUUUUGGGAAGAUGUUUUGAUUGCGUGGAUCACCGUUUAUAUACAGUUGGAGGCCAUCUAUUGCAUUUCACUACCGGAAGAUCGUCAGGGAGGAAAUUAUGCGAAUAGUUUAAUUUCUGAAAGAUGCAGUUACAGUAAGAACAUGACAAAUGAAAAGUAGUCGUGGAUAAACUACAGGGCUGAAGCUAGUUUUUAGACGUCAUUUUUCCAAACAUAUGACGGUUUGGAUGCAACGGAUCAUUGUUUACAAGGAAGCUGUCAAUGAAGUGCAUUCGAAAGUGAUCUGCAGAGUCUGUUAUCUCUAUGAUGUAUAAAUAGAAAAAAUACUGGAUGUGAAAGAACCUCCAAAUUAAGCUGCUCUGCGCCACCAGGGAUGACCACUGACCUGACAUUUAAGUAAAUGUAUUCUCCAGUGUACCUCCAUCCUGGCAGAUGAGAAACAUCAUCGUAAAAAUGGACGUUUUAAUUAUGAAGACAAGUCAAGAUUUACGGAAUACAGGACCUACAUAAAUACACAAGGUUCGUAACAUAUAAGAUUCAUUAUACACAAGGUUCGCUAUAUAAACAUACAAUGCUCUGGCGAGUACAUUCAUGAUGUGAGGUUUAUCAAUUUAAUUUUAAGUAAUAUUUCAGUUUAAGCUUGACUAUUUUCCUAUUACUCUCUUUUCACACACACUUUUCAUAUCAGAAUGUAAAUGAGAUAGCGAACGUUUAUUCAGAUUAAGGUAGACAGAAGUGCUAUUUAAGCAAGACUUUCGGAAGUUAGUUUUAAAGCGUGUCUGCCUAUUCCUGUUGUGCCGUGAUUAUUAGCGACUUGAGACAGCGGCAUUGAAUGUUUCUAGCCAUUUAGCUUUAUCUCGCCGGUUAUUACGAACCAGAGUUUUUCCUGUGCGGUAAAGUAUUCUAUGAGCCGUUAGGCUAAUCUACCAUAUCUUGAAAUUGUUAUAUGUUUCGUAUUUAUGUUGAGCGAAAAGUGCUUGGUUUAUGUAAACCAAAGUUGGUCAUUUGUUGUGUUCGAAUAAAAGAGUCUUAUACACCCUCCUUCUGAUUUCUGUUUUGUCUCACAAGACUAGAAGAUAAUUCUUCAAUAACCCUUUUAAAAUUUAUAGUUUAUGUUCCCAAAGAGACAGAUACUUUACAGUUGUAUAAAAUAAAACAUUCAUUGCUUGUUUUCAUACAUUAUUUACAUGAGCUUUAAUGAUUUCAGUGAAUCCAAUAAUCCUGAUUAUCAUUAUGUACAUGAUGGAAUUGAGUUCAAGCAGAAUUGCGAAGCAUUAUACAGUUCUUCGCACUUUUACCUGAACUCAAUCCCACCAUGAAUGGCAACUUUCACAGGUGGUCUAGCAUUGCCUAUGUGGAUGCCAUGUCAUCUGUUUGGCCUUUUCCAUUGAAGCGCUAAGUUAACACGGUUCUUGUUUCACAGUUGAUAAACUUGCAAGUGGUUUGACGGAUCGGACUGAUCAAACAUCUGUCAUCAAAUCGGGCUGAGAAUGUAGGGUAUUUCUCAGAUUACAUUUUUUGCCACAGAACCUGUCAGUCCAUUUCUGAGUUGUUCUUUUAGCAACGGUAUGCUCUUCAUACAGCACAAAUUCGUCUGGAAACCUUUGUUGUACUGAUACAUUCGUUGAACAACAUCGUCGUAUAGCAACA